UCCGGCAGGUGGCGGUAUUCGGCCGGACAGAGAACACCAGAAGAAGAAAAAUGCCCGGCUGUGAUUGGCUGCUGGCUGGUAUAAAGACAACAUGGCGGCGCUACGGCCAAGUCUCAAGCUGAAGCUGGUUCCAGGAGAAGAUAAAGGAUCACAUCCGGGAGGAGAGCCCGAUGACCGGGGACGGAGAGCCGCAGCGGCCGGGUCUGACCAUCCGACGACCGUAGCGGGCUCCACCACGAUCCGGACCCGGUGCUGCUACGUCAACGGUAAGAGACUGUAAACUACGUCACUGUGGCGCGAAAGUGUAUAAACAUGGCGGGACCCAGCGGCCUGAAUGAUCACAGUUAAAAAGUUAUGCUGCGUUCGAUUGUACUCGGAACUCGGACAGAUCCGACCUUCAAGUCGGAAAAGUGCAAUAGAACGGCCCUUAAACACGGGAUUCCGAUUCGGAAAUACGUUGAAAAUGUCAAAGCUAAAUGGCGCCACACACCGUGAGAGGUGUGUGAGCGUAGUAGGGACGAAAAAGCACAGUAAAAGUGUAAAAAAGAUUAGUUUUCCCCGUAUUUAAACUACAUUAGUCUAAUGUGUAAUACUGCACUUCUUUUUAUUAUAUCCAAGAAAUUGAUAAGAUUAAUUAUAUUUUUUGUCUCAAGUAUUUGCAGACCACAAUUUCACCCUAUAUUUGGAACCAGAGAGGACACUACCAUUUAACUGUAUGUUGUGAUUUUUAAAUGCUCUAAAGACAUCCAAACAUCUAUUUGCUGUGGCCGGCCAAGUUUUCCGAGGUUGAGCAAUGAAACGCAUUUACCUCGGAAGUCGGAAAUCCAGGUCUGGUGGUCCUGGUGUUUGAGUCUGGAAGUGAUGAAACAAAAGGCCGAUUGAAGCCCCCCCUCAGCAGUCUGUUCACAGAGGGGGGGUCGUGACAAAACCCACCUGAAGCGUAUUCUGACCCAGACUGCAGACACCUGGACCUGGAGUAGACCUGGACCAGGCCAGUGCUGAAGCAUUGAGGGCAUUUUUCUGUUCAUGCAUCAUUAAUAAUCUGUUAUUUCUGGUCACUUGUCUGCAUGUGAACUCCAGCAGACGGGCUUCAGCUGCAGGGGUUAAUCGGUCUGUCACCUGUCUGCAGGUGAGGCUCCGCCCACUGACUGACUGACAGACUUCUGAUGCCAUCAGUGAGGCCACACACCGACCGACAGCAGGACGCUGUCUGUCUCUCUUCAGCAUAUGUGCCCCUCUGCAUCCUUUAGAGAUGAGAACUUCUUUUUUUUUUUUUUUUUCACCUUUUGAAGGCCACUUGAGACCAACAAAUUGAUAUAUCAUUUUCAUAUUUUUUUCAUUACUGGUCAAUUUUGGUAAAUUAUUCAAAAUUAGGCCUCAUUUCAAGAGAAAGUAAUAAAACAUGAAUCAUUUUUCAAUAGUUAUUGUAAAAUAAUUUCUUGAUGGGAAUGCACAGAGUAGGUUAUGUCAAAUUUUAGUAAAACCUAUGUUUUGAAAGCAUUGAUUAUUUUUGGAUGUCAGCAAAAGUAAAAUAAAAACCACACCCAUUGAAAGUUAGUUUUUCGUGGGUAUGUAUUACCCAAAUUAUUUCACUCUAACUAUUGAAACAAUUAUUUGGGUUUUAUUACUUUUUUUUUUUUCCCUUGAAAUGAGGCAUAAUUUUGUAUAUUUGACUUAAAUUGACAUAAUGAAAAAAUCAUGUUGGUCUUGAGUUGCCUUAAAAAGGUGGAGAAUUUUUUUUUAUUUCUUUCUACAUGUCCUUAAACCAGUCUUGUGUCAUUUUUUUUUUUUUUUUUAAACCCCUGAGGACCAUGGGUGCGUAGUCAACGGGAGGACGAACAAGGGUUAACUCUGAAUAUUAAAAUCAUGUUUCAACAUUUUGUUCUGAUUUCUUCGCUGCAGCAGAACUGAAAUAAAUCUGAUUAUUUCCUGCUCAUGAUGAUUUAUUGUUGAAUAAAGAGGUAAAAUAUCUUAA